rnacentral:rRNA from 1 species
AUUGAACGCUGGCGGCAUGCUUUACACAUGCAAGUCGAACGGUAACAGGCCGCAAGGUGCUGACGAGUGGCGAACGGGUGAGUAAUGCAUCGGAACGUGCCCAGUCGUGGGGGAUAACUACUCGAAAGAGUAGCUAAUACCGCAUACGAUCUAUGGAUGAAAGCGGGGGACCGAAAGGCCUCGCGCGAUUGGAGCGGCCGAUGUCAGAUUAGGUAGUUGGUGGGGUAAAGGCUCACCAAGCCAACGAUCUGUAGCUGGUCUGAGAGGACGACCAGCCACACUGGGACUGAGACACGGCCCAGACUCCUACGGGAGGCAGCAGUGGGGAAUUUUGGACAAUGGGCGCAAGCCUGAUCCAGCAAUGCCGCGUGCAGGAAGAAGGCCUUCGGGUUGUAAACUGCUUUUGUACGGAACGAAACGGCUCUGGUUAAUACCCGGGGCUAAUGACGGUACCGUAAGAAUAAGCACCGGCUAACUACGUG